rnacentral:rRNA from 1 species
UCAUGGCUCAGGAUGAACGCUAGCGGCAGGCUUAACACAUGCAAGUCGAGGGGUAACAUUGUGCUUGCACAGAUGACGACCGGCGAACGGGUGCGUAACGCGUAUAGAAUCUACCUCUUACUAAGGGAUAGCCCAGAGAAAUUUGGAUUAAUACCUUAUAGUAUGCAGACUUGGCAUCAAGACUGCAUUAAAGAUUACGGUAGGAGAUGACUAUGCGUCCUAUUAGCUAGAUGGUGUGGUAACGGCACACCAUGGCAACGAUAGGUAGGGGCCCUGAGAGGGGGAUCCCCCACACUGGUACUGAGACACGGACCAGACUCCUACGGGAGGCAGCAGUGAGGAAUAUUGGACAAUGGAGGCAACUCUGAUCCAGCCAUGCCGCGUGCAGGAAGACUGCCCUAUGGGUUGUAAACUGCUUUUAUACAGGAAGAAACACUGCUACGUGUAGCAGCUUGACGGUACUGUAAGAAUAAGGAUCGGCUAACUCCGUGCCAGCAGCCGCGGUAAUACGGAGGAUCCAAGCGUUAUCCGGAAUCAUUGGGUUUAAAGGGUCCGUAGGUGGAUAAUUAAGUCAGAGGUGAAAUCCUGCAGCUCAACUGUAGAAUUGCCUUUGAUACUGGUUAUCUUGAGUUAUUAUGAAGUAGUUAGAAUAUGUAGUGUAGCGGUGAAAUGCAUAGAUAUUACAUAGAAUACCAAUUGCGAAGGCAGAUUACUAAUAAUAUACUGACACUGAUGGACGAAAGCGUGGGGAGCGAACAGGAUUAGAUACCCUGGUAGUCCACGCCGUAAACGAUGGUCACUAGCUGUUCGAACUUCGGUUUGAGUGGCUAAGCGAAAGUGAUAAGUGACCCACAU